rnacentral:rRNA from 1 species
GACGAACGCUGGCGGCGCGCUUCAAACAUGCAAGUCGAACGUGAAGCCCGGAGCUUGCUCUGGGUGGAAAGUGGCGAACGGGUGAGGAACACGUGAGGAACCUGCCCCGAAGACCGGGAUAACUCCGGGAAACCGGAGCUAAUACCGGAUGCCCUCACCGGACCGCAUGAUCCGGUGAGGAAAUGGAUUCCGCUUCGGGAUGGUCUCGCGCACUAUCAGCUUGUUGGUGAGGUAAUGGCUCACCAAGGCGACGACGGUUAGCUGGUCUGAGAGGAUGUCCAGCCACACUGGGACUGAGACACGGCCCAGACUCCUACGGGAGGCAG